GGGAGAUGGCGACCUCUGGUGGUGAGAGGGAGAACACCAGACGCCAGACCCUGACAGUAUAGCUCUUCAGGACAAAUGAAAAAA